UACGGAGGGAGCUAGCGCUAUUCGGAAUUACUGGGCGUAAAGCGCACGUAGGCGGCUUUGUAAGUUAGAGGUGAAAGCCUGGAGCUCAACUCCAGAACUGCCUUUAAGACUGCAUCGCUUGAAUCCAGGAGAGGUGAGUGGAAUUCCGAGUGUAGAGGUGAAAUUCGUAGAUAUUCGGAAGAACACCAGUGGCGAAGGCGGCUCACUGGACUGGUAUUGACGCUGAGGUGCGAAAGCGUGGGGAGCAAACAGG
rnacentral:rRNA from 1 species